GGUGAGAUGGCCGAGCGGUCUAAGGCGCCAGACUAGGGACCAAAGUAGUUGCUGCUUUCAAAGUGGGAUUUGAACUCACCUAUAUGGUCCGAAUAGGGCCAGGGUUCAAAUCCCUCUCUCAUCA